GACGAACCGUGCGAACGUUAUUCGGAAUUAUUGGGCGUAAAGGGCUCGUAGGCGGUCUGUCGCGUCGGGAGUGAAAACUCAGGGCUUAACCCUGAGCCUGCUUCCGAUACGGGCAGACUAGAGGUAUGCAGGGGAGAACGGAAUUCCUGGUGUAGCGGUGGAAUGCGCAGAUAUCAGGAGGAACACCGGUGGCGAAGGCGGUUCUCUGGGCAAUAACUGACGCUGAGGAGCGAAAGCGUGGGGAGCGAACAGG
rnacentral:rRNA from 1 species